GAUGAACGCUGGCGGCGUGCCUAAUACAUGCAAGUCGAGCGAACAGACGAGGAGCUUGCUCCUCUGACGUUAGCGGCGGACGGGUGAGUAACACGUGGAUAACCUACCUAUAAGACUGGGAUAACUUCGGGAAACCGGAGCUAAUACCGGAUAAUAUAUUGAACCGCAUGGUUCAAUAGUGAAAGACGGUUUUGCUGUCACGUAUAGAUGGAUCCGCGCCGCAUUAGCUAGUUGGUAAGGUAAAGGCUUACCAAGGCAACGAUGCGUAGCCGACCUGAGAGGGUGAUCGGCCACACUGGAACUGAGACACGGUCCAGACUCCUACGGGAGGCAGCAGUAGGGAAUCUUCCGCAAUGGGCGAAAGCCUGACGGAGCAACGCCGCGUGAGUGAUGAGGGUCUUCGGAUCGUAAAACUCUGUUAUUAGGGAAUAACAAAUGUGUAAGUAACUAUGCACGUCUUGACGGUACCUAAUCAGAAAGCCACGGCUAACUACGUG
rnacentral:rRNA from 1 species